CCUACGGGUGGCAGCAGUGGGGAAUAUUGCACAAUGGGGGAAACCCUGAUGCAGCGACGCCGCGUGAGUGAAGAAGUAAUUCGUUAUGUAAAGCUCUAUCAGCAGGGAAGAAAAUGACGGUACCUGAGUAAUAAGCCCCGGCUAACUACGUGCCAGCAGCCGCGGUAAUACUUAGGGGGCAAGCGUUAUCCGGAUGUACUGGGUGUAAAGUGAGCGUAGACGGCAGUGCAAGUCUGGAGUGAAAGGCGGGGGCUCAACCCCCGGACUGCUCUGGAAACUGUACGGCUGGAGUGCAGGAGAGGUGAGUAGAAUUCCUAGUGUAGCGGUGAAAUGCGUAGAUAUUAGGAGGAACACCAGUGGCGAAGGCGGCUUACUGGACUGUAACUGACGUUGAGGCUCGAAAGCGUGGGGAGCAAACAGGAGUAGAUACCCGAGUAGUC
rnacentral:rRNA from 1 species